AACGCACAUUGCGCCCCUUGGUAUUCCGGGGGGCAUGCCUGUUCGAGCGUCAUUACACCAAUCAAGCACAGCUUGGCAUUAGACCUCUUCGCCCGCGGUAAAACGCGGACGGGUCCCAAAACCUUCGGCGAAGUCAUAUCCGGCUUUGGGCGUAGCAGAAUCUGUCAAAACGUCUAAAAGAGUCGCGAGAGCCUUCCGCCGCUUUGAAAACCCAUAUUUUCACAAGGUUGACCUCGGAUCAGGUAGGAAUACCCGCUGAACUUAA
rnacentral:misc_RNA from 1 species